GUAUUCAUAGAAAAGGAGAGAUGAUUGGCAUUUCCCUUAAUAAGGGCAGGCAUAGUCUUCAAACUAUUCCUUCGCAUGCAAUUAAGGCUUUUUGUCACUGGUAGAUACUACCUAGAUUAUUUUCUUUU